rnacentral:rRNA from 1 species
UAGUGGCGAAUGGGUGAGUAACACGUGAGUAACCUGCCCUCUAGACUGGGAUAACUUCUGGAAACGGAUUGUAAUACCGGAUGUCAUCUGAACAUCGCAUGAUGAUCAGAGAAAAGCUUAGAUGCACUAGAGGAUGGACUCGCGGCGUAUUAGCUAGUUGGUGAGAUAGAAGCUCACCAAGGCAAUGAUACGUAGCCGACCUGAGAGGGUGACCGGCCACACUGGGACUGAGACACGGCCCAGACUCC